GGUUGAGAAAAGAAGGAGGUUCUUCCUACUGUUACAAAACCAGUCAGUGGUGACAAGAAUGGUGGUACCAGGGUUGUUAAGCUUUGCAAAAUGCCUAGAUACUACCCGACUGAAGUUGUGUGAAGAAAGCUGUUUAGUCUCGCAAAGAAACCCGUCAGUCAGCAUUUGAGAAAGCUGAAAGCCAGCAUCACUCCUGGGACAUCCUGAUCAUCCUCACUGGGUGCCACAGACACAAGAGAGUGGUUUUCCUGAAGCAGCUGAGCAGUGGCUUGCUACUUGUGACAGAACCUCCUUCCCUCAAUCAAGUUCCUCUGCUUAGACCACAUCAGAAAUUUGUUAUCACCACCUCCAGAAAGAUUGAUAUCAACAACGUGAAAAUCCCCAAACACCUCAAUUCUGCUUACUUCAAGAAGAAGGUUAAGGAAGCCCCGACACCAGGAAGGUGAAAUCUUCAGCACAGAGAGAAAGAGAAAUUCAAGAUCACAGAGCAGCGCAAGGUUGAUCAGAAAGCUGUGGACUAAAACAUUUUACCCAAAAUCAAAUCUAUUGCUCCGCUCCAGGGCUACAUGUGAUCCGUUUCUGUUCUAACAAAUGGAAUUUAUACUCACAAAUUGUUGUUCUAAAUUUCUUACCAAGAACCUAAUUAAAU
rnacentral:lncRNA from 1 species